rnacentral:lncRNA from 1 species
CACCCUCAGGGGUCAUUGUUUACAUUCACAUUUGAGGUAAAGUCUGCUAGAGAUGGUCACUGGAGAAAGGAAUUCACAGAAGAUGAAUUGAGAAAAUGAGGUGCCUGUGGUGAAAUUCUGGGUAAAAGCACAAAAUUAACUGUCAUCCAAGCCCAAGAAGGUGAAAAAUGCAGCUCAUACUCCAAGUCUCUGUGUGAACCCAGUCCAGAGGGAACAUUUUGGGACCAUUUCCUGUGUUUUGGACAGAAUAGAAGCCCUGGUUAAAUGAAGAGAGAAAUGUAGCCACCCCUUCUGACCCAAGAGGAGGAAAAGAUUUUUCUUCAGUUUUACAGCCUAAGAUAUUUGUAUCUUUGUCAAGUUUGCAGUCCUGAUCAAUGGGAGAGUCUUGCUCAUCCGUCAAGCUCCAGCUGUUUCCCUGACAAUGCCUCAGGCCCUGUUAUCUGCUGCUGCCUUUCUGCAGACUCACACCAUCACCUGGAACCUGCUGAGUGCCAUCAAAUGAAGGAGCAGUGAGAACUCACUGGUGGAAGAGCUGAGGUCUAAGCUUGCUGUUUGAGAGAGAGAACUUCAUCUGAGAAACAAAGACACCAAGGUGCAGAUUGACAAAAUGAGAUAGUACACAGAAAAGCUUGGUAAAGGAAAAGUCAUCACAGAUAUCAAUGAAGCACAGAACUUAUAUUUGUCUUUUAACAUUGUCCUAGUUUAACUCAGGUCAACAAUUAAGUUCUAUACAGCCAC